CGGCGAGGCGGAUCGGGAGCUCGCGCGGGGAGAGGGGGUGAGUAGGAUCGAGUGAGGGGAGGGUCUUCGGGGCGAAGAAUCGAGCGAAUCAAGUGGGGGAAGGCAGCACUGACUCGGUCGAGUGUUGGAUUGUUCGUUUUUGGGGAAAUGGGGACAAAUGGUGUUAGGUUGUGAGAGAGAGAGAGAAGAGCAGUGAAGGGGGAAGAUUGUUGUGAGGAUGACACCGCGUGAUUGACCACGAGGACAGAGGAUCCGC
rnacentral:lncRNA from 1 species